rnacentral:lncRNA from 1 species
AGAAGUCUGGGGAAGAGCCGGCGAAGAGCAAAGAGAUAAUACAGUACUCCCAGCUAUAGCAAGCGGCAGUUAUGGAGCAUGCGCAGCAGCAGGGGCGGCCGCAGUCAAGGGAUUUGUACAGCCCUGUAGGAGACACCUCCAGAGAAAGUAACAGCUCUCAAUUGAUUAGCUGAGAAGCCUCAGGGGCUGGAUCCUGACAUGAACCAGACACCUCCAGAAUUCUAUCCCAAGCAAAAGAUUAUUUCAAGGCCAGAACUCACUCCCUGCUGGAGACUGACUACAAGAUCCACUGAGAUUGAUGUGUAACCUGAUUGGGCCCACAGUGAUGCUAGCCCCUUCACCAGAUGGAACAAUAAUUCCAGACAAGCCAUCAGAGCAGAGAGCAGAGAAGAGGAGAAGCAGCUGGAUGUCAGAGACUGCAGUUUGACGUUGGAGAAAAGCAGCUUGACUUCAGAGGGACAGCUUGACAGCAUGGAUUCAGAGAGGAGAAGAUCACCUUCCUGCUCCGUCCCCUUUCCAGCUCCCUUUCCCACUGAGAGCCACUUACACAGGCAAUAAAAUCCUCUGCAUUCACCACCCUUCAAUUCAUUCAUGCAACCUGAUUUUUUUCUGGAUGCUGAACAUGAGCUCAGGUACCAUGGGUGCAGAUGCAAAAGGCUGUCACACUGACCCUGUGCCCUUGCUGGCAGAAAGCAGCUGCCUCAUGCAAAAAGGCAGAGGGCCACUGAGCUGUCAACACGUAAGCCAUCUGCAGAUGG